UACGUAGGGCGCGAGCGUUAUCCGGAAUUAUUGGGCGUAAAGAGCUCGUAGGCGGUUUGUCACGUCUGCUGUGAAAACUGGAGGCUCAACCUCCAGCCUGCAGUGGGUACGGGCAGACUAGAGUGUGGUAGGGGAGACUGGAAUUCCUGGUGUAGCGGUGAAAUGCGCAGAUAUCAGGAGGAACACCGAUGGCGAAGGCAGGUCUCUGGGCCACUACUGACGCUGAGAAGCGAAAGCAUGGGGAGCGAACAGG
rnacentral:rRNA from 1 species